rnacentral:rRNA from 1 species
GACGAACGCUGGCGGCGUGCUUAACACAUGCAAGUCGAACGGAAAGGCCCUGCUUUUGUGGGGUGCUCGAGUGGCGAACGGGUGAGUAACACGUGAGUAACCUGCCCUUGACUUUGGGAUAACUUCAGGAAACUGGGGCUAAUACCGGAUAGGAGCUCCUGCUGCAUGGUGGGGGUUGGAAAGUUUCGGCGGUUGGGGAUGGACUCGCGGCUUAUCAGCUUGUUGGUGGGGUAGUGGCUUACCAAGGCUUUGACGGGUAGCCGGCCUGAGAGGGUGACCGGCCACAUUGGGACUGAGAUACGGCCCAGACUCCUACGGGAGGCAGCAGUGGGGAAUAUUGCACAAUGGGCGGAAGCCUGAUGCAGCAACGCCGCGUGCGGGAUGACGGCCUUCGGGUUGUAAACCGCUUUCGCCUGUGACGAAGCGUGAGUGACGGUAAUGGGUAAAGAAGCACCGGCUAACUACGUGCCAGCAGCCGCGGUGAUACGUAGGGUGCGAGCGUUGUCCGGAUUUAUUGGGCGUAAAGGGCUCGUAGGUGGUUGAUCGCGUCGGAAGUGUAAUCUUGGGGCUUAACCCUGAGCGUGCUUUCGAUACGGGUUGACUUGAGGAAGGUAGGGGAGAAUGGAAUUCCUGGUGGAGCGGUGGAAUGCGCAGAUAUCAGGAGGAACACCAGUGGCGAAGGCGGUUCUCUGGGCCUUUCCUGACGCUGAGGAGCAAAAGCGUGGGGAGCGAACAGGCUUAGAUACCCUGGUAGUCCGCGCUGUAAACGGUGGGUACUAGGUGUGGGGUCCAUUCCACGGGUUCCGUGCCGUAGCUAACGCUUUAAGUACCCCGCCUGGGGAGUACGGCCGCAAGGCUAAAACUCAAAGGAAUUGACGGGGCCCCGCACAAGCGGCGGAGCAUGCGGAUUAAUUCGAUGCAACGCGUAGAACCUUACCUGGGUUUGACAUGGAUCGGGAGUGCUCAGAGAUGGGUGUGCCUCUUUUGGGGUCGGUUCACAGGUGGUGCAUGGCUGUCGUCAGCUCGUGUCGUGAGAUGUUGGGUUAAGUCCCGCAACGAGCGCAACCCUUGUUCACUGUUGCCAGCACGUUAUGGUGGGGACUCAGUGGAGACCGCCGGGGUCAACUCGGAGGAAGGUGGGGAUGACGUCAAGUCAUCAUGCCCCUUAUGUCCAGGGCUUCACGCAUGCUACAAUGGCUGGUACAGAGAGUGGCGAGCCUGUGAGGGUGAGCGAAUCUCGGAAAGCCGGUCUCAGUUCGGAUUGGGGUCUGCAACUCGACCUCAUGAAGUCGGAGUCGCUAGUAAUCGCAGAUCAGCAACGCUGCGGUGAAUACGUUCCCGGG